ACCACGGGCUUUAACACCUUGAAUGCAUCAGUUUCCAAUUGAUCACUGAAGUUAAGCAACGGUGCGCGUGGUUAGUAUCUGGACAAUCACGUCCUGCUGGCU
rnacentral:rRNA from 1 species